GGGAGUUCCCCUGCCCAGGCUCUCUUGCCUGCAGCCAUGUAAGAUGUCUCUUUUGCUCUUCUUUCAUCUUCCACCAUGAUCAUGAGGUCUCCUCAGCCAUGUGAAACAGGAUGUCAUGGGAAUUCUGCUUCUUGGCAAUUUUCACGGAUUGUAAAAUUAGCUUACCAACUUGCAUAAAAACUUCUGUAUGUUAUUGAAUAUCAUCAGUUUUAGCAAGCAUUCUUGUCUCAUUCCUGAUUUUAGAGGAAAUACUUGAACUUCUCACUCGAAAGGAACUAAAAUAAUUCUGAGUACUAGCAAGGACUAAGAUGAAGUUCAAUGUUAUGACUGCAAAGUGAAAUGAUCAGAAGUUUCAUGGCCAUGAGUACUGCUGCCUGGCCCGGGCAUGAGAAAUGAGUUUGCUCUAGACUGCAGAUUGUGAAGACGAGCUUUGCAAAAAUCUAACAUCUAGUGCAUUCUGACUAUGGAGAGGAUAUAAUUGAUACCUUGAGAUCUCCUGAACAUACUGACAUUUGGUGGUCAUUGCUUCCUCUCUGAACACCUUCCUUAAUGUGAGAAGGAACUUGGAAUCGCUGUAAGAUCCUGAAGGGUUGCAACGAUUGAAUCAAAAGCAAAGGAUGGAGGAGUGCAGUGAGGGAAAGAGAUAUUUGUG
rnacentral:lncRNA from 10 species